rnacentral:rRNA from 1 species
GAACGCGAAGAACCUUACCAGGUCUUGACAUCCCUCUGACCGCUCUAGAGAUAGAGUUUUCCUUCGGGACAGAGGUGACAGGUGGUGCAUGGUUGUCGUCAGCUCGUGUCGUGAGAUGUUGGGUUAAGUCCCGCAACGAGCGCAACCCCUAUUGUUAGUUGCCAUCAUUCAGUUGGGCACUCUAGCGAGACUGCCGGUAAUAAACCGGAGGAAGGUGGGGAUGACGUCAAAUCAUCAUGCCCCUUAUGACCUGGGCUACACACGUGCUACAAUGGCUGGUACAACGAGUCGCAAGUCGGUGACGGCAAGCUAAUCUCUUAAAGCCAGUCUCGGUUCGGAUUGUAGGCUGCAACUCGCCUACAUGAAGUCGGAAUCGCUAGUAAUCGCGGAUCAGCACGCCGCGGUGAAUACGUUCCCGGGUCUUGUACACACC